rnacentral:tRNA from 1 species
GGGGUUGUGGCUCAGCGGUAGAGCACUCGCUUUGCAUGUGUGAGGCACUGGGUUCAAUUCUCAGCACCACA